CAGACCCGUUACCUCACCCAAUAAUAUAAUUAACGAAGGUUCAAAUUAUGAAGGAUUAGAGCUGGAUACCAGAGAUGACAAUCAGUAUACAAGUAUUAAUGUUGGCUUGGUUCCAGACACGUCCCCAGAACAAAUACAAGAAUACGAUAACCAAGCUUCCGAUACUGCCGCUACCAAGGGAGAUAACUUACUUUAUGAGAACAUGGAGAGGACGCAAGACUCGACGGAAUAAGAAUCAACAUUUGGCAUGAAACAGAAACUACACAUAAAUAGCUUAACUGUCUAAAGCAUAGAUUUAUAUUUUGGUGUUGGUUGGAUGUAUUGAAAGGGCUGUACAUUGUAAACCAAAGCGGAAAACCUUUUAAAUAGCACCCUCUGUUGUGGAGUUGUAACAAUAGCCCAUGGAAUUUGACCCUCGCGUACCUAAUAAAAGUACUGGAUUUUAUUAUUAGUAGAUUAUUUUAAUUUAUGCCGUCCGUACUUCUAUCGGAUGUAAAUGAUUAGAACGUAUACGAAAACUGAUUCAGGAAAAGUCACGCAAUCAAUUUUAUAUUUAGUACGUAGUUCAUUGAUUGUUUUACUGUAAAUACCUCAGUAUUAGUUAUCUUUGUGUUGUAAAUUGACUUUCAAAUGUGUGUCUAACCCUGAUUUCAUAACGUCCCCUCAUUUACCCUUUAAGGUCUUAGGAACCUUUUAAAUAUGCAUGCGUUAAGAGCUAAAUCGGCCUAUUAAUUACAGGUCUUUAUUCUGGCUUCAAAAGUUAUAUAGACUAUUAUUGAGAUAUUUACUCACAUGGAAAGCCUAUAAUCAACUCUUUAGGCCAUCGCAUGAUGGAGAAGUAAACGGAUUAAACCACGGUAGCCUUUUAAUGAUUUAAUUUGAAAAUGGUGAAUCGAGGCUAAGUCUAGAAUAACAAGUAUCGCUGUUGCGUAAAUAAUCAAUCUAUGCCACAUCUUGUCAAAACUUCCAGCAGUGAAAACGUCGCUCAGAAUAUAAUAUUCAUUUUGCAUUACUGUUUUUGAACGUGUAUAGCAAGAACGGACAGCUCUUUAUCUGAAUCUUACAGAAUGCAUCUUUAAAGCAAGGACACUCGUGAUUAUAGUUUUUUUUUAUUCUUUGAUUACUCCUUAAUUAAAUCAACCUGUCCAUAAUGUCAUGUAAAAUGUAUUGGACGUUAAAUUUGUAAUAAACAACAACCUGGU